ensembl:lncRNA
CAGCCUCUGAGGAUGGCCAAGCUGCCACGGAUGGAAGAAACCGUUUAUUUUUCCUGUGAGCCGCUCUGGAGCCUUUCAAAGGUGUGAAGUUCCAGGGCCUGCAAAUGCUGACUCUACUUGCUGCACAGAGCCAGCCCUGCCUGGGCCUCAGCCCCCCAAAGCUCCAGCCUCUUCAUGUGCUAGGGGAACUCCCCCAGGCCCAUCUGGCCUCUCCUGUGCUGAAAGGCCACAGAGUGACAGGCCAGAAACCUGACUCAGUGUUUAUUCACCAAACACUGAGAGGGCCCUCCUGAAUCUCUUCCCCACCCAAAGCCUCCCUACUUCGGGGGCAGGAGAGGGGACGGCACUGCCAUCUCCCAUGCUCAGCAUACCUGGUAUACUUGCCCCAGGAGAUUAGCCACAAGGAAAAGCAUGCAGGCUGCCCCCGACACAAGAGAAAAUCUGGUAAAACACAAGAAAGAACCACCACUGAGCAGCAUCAGCCAAGAGAAGAAUCCCACAUCCUGUGGAUUCCGAUCUACAGACCUGCGUUGCCUGGCUUGCUCUUCGUUGCUGUUUUGAACUCAGGCUGCAUAAAGCAUCAAGGAUUUCUUCGGGCCAAGAUGUCACCAUUCACCUGCUGAUAAUGCAUCUUUGCAUUAAUGUAUCUGUGACCUGAUGACCUUUCAGAUGUACAGAGGUAGAGCCCAGAGACUGGCUGACUGGCCUGGAGGGGACCGGCCACUCAGCCACGCUUUGAAGCCUUCCUUCUUCAGCCAGCCAGGAACCAGGACACUCUGAGACUCAUGGCUUUUCCACUCCUGUGCACCAGGGGGCACCGGUAGGGAGACAAGGGGCUCAGGCAGGGGUAUCUCAACCUUCUUUUCCGUGGCACUCAGAGCUCCAGAGACCUGGCUGGGAUUACACAGUGGGUUCUGCGGUGCUCUCAGUCCCUAGCUGCCCGGCAACUUCCGCUGCUUUUAAGAUCUAAUUUAGGAAUAUGCGGAAAUAAGCAGAACACUGAAAGAGACACACCAAUGCAUUACAGAGUGAGUCGUGCUCCACAGCCCACCGAAGCUGUUCCGAUCAGGGACGAAGGGGAAAAUGCUUCAACAGGAUGUGUAUGGUUUAGGGUUCAGAGAGUAUCUCCGUUUCCUUUCAGAUAUCAACAACAACAACCAUAUUUUCCCCACUGCCUACACAGGACAAAUCAGGGAUUAGGCAGUUCCUGGUGGUCUUCACACACACACACACACACACACACACACACACACACAGAAAGAAGGAAAAAAUCUGCCUGGAAGCAAGCCUCCCCAGCCUCCCAGCGCUGCCCCCCCUUCCCUACCCAGAGCGCCCCCCCCAUUUGCAAUUAGGGGUAAUCUUUUGUUGCCUGGAAAGUGUAAAAAUCACCAGCUUUUCUUUUUGCAUGCAUAAUAUCCAUUUCCCCUCCAAGUGCGCUAUUUGGUUAGGGAAUUACAUCUAUUUACAAGAGUAGAUGUUGCACAAAGGUUGUGUUUAUGUGGAAAAUUAUAUCGGUGACACGGGCUGAUUGGCAUGUGGAGGCUGGGAGAGCAGGCCGAAGAGGCCUUCUCAUCAGCUUGGAAUAACAAAAUGAUUGUAUUUUCAGCAAAGCUAAUUGAUCACACACCUCACCGGGCUAUCUGUUUACUCAAAGGCCAUCCAGGCCCUGGGAAGGUGGAAAGGAGGCAGCAGCGGACAGUGGUCACCACCAGGCCAGGCCAGCCAACGCUCUGGGGAUGGAGUUGAGAAGCCACCAUGACUGAGAACAGGACCACACCACCACAAACUGCACAGCCCCAGGUGCCCUGUGUAGCCCACCCCAGUCUUCUCUGCUGGAGGUCUUGCAGAUCCGUGGCUCUCCCAGAAUCAUUCAUUGGCUCUUGGGCCUCCCCUCUCAGCACCAAAUCCAGCUGUGCAAACCCCCUUCUGGCCUAGAAGGACCUCAACCUUAGACAUGGGGGUAAGUGGCUACAGAUGAAAGUCAG